rnacentral:rRNA from 1 species
AGCAGCCGCGGUAAUUCCAGCUCCAAUAGCGUAUAUUAAAGUUGUUGCAGUUAAAAAGCUCGUAGUUGAAUUUCGGGAUCGAAUUGUUGGUCGUGCUUCGGUACGUACUGGCAUUAUCGGUUUCUACCUUCUGAAGAACCGCGAUGUCAUUAAUUUGGUGUCGUGGGGAACCAGGACUGUUACUUUGAAAAAUUAGAGUGUUUAAAGCAGGCGCACGCUUGAAUACAUUAGCAUGGAAUAAUGAAAUAGGACGUUUGAUUCUAUUUUGUUGGUUUCUAGGAUCGACGUAAUGAUUAAUAGGGAUAGUUGGGGGCAUUAGUAUUCAAUUGUCAGAGGUGAAAUUCUUGGAUUUAUUGAAGACUAACUACUGCGAAAGCAUUUGCCAAGGAUGUUUUCAUUAAUCAAGAACGAAAGUUAGGGGAUCGAAGACGAUCAGAUACCGUCGUAGUCUUAACCAUAAACUAUGCCGACUAGGGAUCGGAUGAUGUUAAUUUUAUAAUGACUCAUUCGGCGCCUUACG